UGGAUCAGUGGCGAACGGGUGAGUAACACGUGAGCAACCUGCCCCGGACUCUGGGAUAACAGCUGGAAACAGCUGCUAAUACUGGAUACGAGCUGCGAAGGCAUCUUCAGCAGCUGGAAAGAAUUUCGGUCCGGGAUGGGCUCGCGGCCUAUCAGCUAGUUGGUGAGGUAAUGGCUCACCAAGGCGUCGACGGGUAGCCGGCCUGAGAGGGUGACCGGCCACACUGGGACUGAGACACGGCCCAGACUCCUACGGGAGGCAGCAGUGGGGAAUAUUGCACAAUGGGCGCAAGCCUGAUGCAGCAACGCCGCGUGAGGGACGACGGCCUUCGGGUUGUAAACCUCUUUUAGCAGGGAAGAAGCGAAAGUGACGGUACCUGCAGAAAAAGCGCCGGCUAACUACGUGCCAGCAGCCGCGGUAAUACGUAGGGCGCAAGCGUUAUCCGGAAUUAUUGGGCGUAAAGAGCUCGUAGGCGGUCUGUCGCGUCUGCUGUGAAAUCCCGAGGCUCAACCUCGGGCCUGCAGUGGGUACGGGCAGACUAGAGUGCGGUAGGGGAGAUUGGAAUUCCUGGUGUAGCGGUGGAAUGCGCAGAUAUCAGGAGGAACACCGAUGGCGAAGGCAGAUCUCUGGGCCGUAACUGACGCUGAGGAGCGAAAGGGUG
rnacentral:rRNA from 1 species